AUUGAACGCUGGCGGCAGGCCUAACACAUGCAAGUCGAACGAGUGGCGGACGGGUGAGUAAUGUCUGGGAAACUGCCUGAUGGAGAGGGAUAACUACUGGAAACGGUAGCUACUACCGCAUACCAUCAGAUGUGCCCAGAUGGGAUUAGUUUGUUGGUGGGGUAAGGGCUCACAAGGGCGACGAUCCCUAGCUGGUCGGAGAGGAUGACCAGCCACACGGGAACGGAGACACGGUCCAGACUCCUACGGGAGGCAGCAGUGGGGAAUAUUGGAAAAUGGGCGAAAGCCUGAUGCAGCCAUGCGGGGUGUGUGAAGAAGGCCUUCGGGUUGUAAAGCACUUUAAGUGGGGAGGCGUUACCCGCAGAAUAAGCACCGGCUAACUUCGUGCCAGCAGCCGCGGUAAUAC
rnacentral:rRNA from 1 species